CAGUAGCCGCGGUAAUACGAGGGGUGCAAGCGUUAUUCGGAUUGAUUGGGUGUAAAGGGUGUGCAGACGGCUUAUUAAGUCACUUGUUAAAUUCUUCGGCCUAACUGAAGGUCUGCAAGUGAUACUGAUGAGCUAGAGGGUGGAAGAGAGAAGUGGAAUUCUCGGAGUAGCGGUAAAAUGCGUAGAUCUCGAGAGGAACACCAAUGGCGAAGGCAGCUUCUUGGUCCAUUCCUGACGUUCAUACACGAAAGCGUGGGGAGCAAACAGGAUUAGAUACCCCCGUAGUCCCUGUCUCUUAUAC
rnacentral:rRNA from 1 species